UGAGGAAUAUUGCACAAUGGGCGCAAGCCUGAUGCAGCAACGCCGCGUGAGGGACGAAGGCCUUCGGGUCGUAAACCUCUUUUCUGGGGGACGAGUAAGGACGGUACCCCAGGAAUAAGUCUCGGCUAACUACGUGCCAGCAGCCGCGGUAAAACGUAGGAGGCGAGCGUUAUCCGGAUUUACUGGGCGUAAAGCGUACGCAGGUGGCUUCGUUAGUCGGACAUGAAAGUUCCUGGCUUAACUGGGAGAGGUUGUUCGAUACUGCGGGGCUUGAGGUUGGGAGAGGGACGUGGAAUUCCCGGUGUAGUGGUGGAAUGCGUAGAUAUCGGGAGGAACACCAGUGGAGCAAGCGGCGUCCUGGCCCACACCUGACGCUGAGGUACGAAAGCGUGGGUAGCAAACAG
rnacentral:rRNA from 1 species